UGUGUAGUAGGUGUGUGUGUGUAGUAGGUGUGUGUGUGUGUGUAGUAGGUGUGCGUGUGUGUGUGUGUGUAGUAGGUGUGCGUGUGUGUGUGUGUGUAGUAGGUGUGCGUGUGUGUGUGUAGUAGGUGUGCGUGUGUGUGUGUAGUAGGUGUGCGUGUGUGUGUGUGUAGUAGGUGUGCGUGUGUGUGUGUGUAGUAGGUGUGCGUGUGUGUGUGUGUAGUAGGUGUGCGUGUGUGUGUGUGUAGUAGGUGUGCGUGUGCGUGUGUGUAGUAGGUGUGCGUGUGUGUGUGUAGUAGGUGUGCAUGUGUGUGUGUGUAGUAGGUGUGCGUGUGUGUGUGUAGUAGGUGUGUGUGUGUAGUAGGUGUGUGUGUGUGUAGUAGGUGUGCGUGUGUGUGUGUGUAGUAGGUGUGCGUGUGUGUGUGUAGUAGGUGUGCGUGUGUGUGUGUAGUAGGUGUGCGUGUGUGUGUGUGUAGUAGGUGUGCAUGUGUGUGUGUGUGUAGUAGGUGUGUGUGUGUAGUAGGUGUGUGUGUGUAUGUGUAGUAGGUGUGCGUGUGUGUGUGUGUGCGCGCGCGUGUGUGUGUGUGUGUGUGUGUGUGUGUGUAGUAGGUGGGAGUCUCCCCUAGAGUACCAAAGGGUGAAGCACAGAAGGGGAUGCUCUGCUGGUCCAGGGACAACAGUCUUCCUCCUGCUGUGGCUCGUGCCUCAUACCGUUGUUUUCCUUCUCUGUUGUAGAACUAUUUAAUCCCAACAACCCAGGGGUUCUACCCUGCCUUUGAUCAUUCAGUUUCAAGAUAAAAGCCAUACACAGCCUUUAUAAUUAUAAUCAGCACCAGAGCUGGGCAGGUGUCUACCCUUAUGCUAUUAGACUCUACUUUCCUAUUGAUAACCCUGUCUUAGUCAGGGGUUCUAUUCCUGC
rnacentral:lncRNA from 1 species